AUGGCGGCCAAUGUUUUAAAUUUUCAAGAGUAUGUGAAUAUUUUGAGACCAAAAGGGGAGCAAACACGGUACCACAAACUUUACUUACCUUGAAAUACAUGAUGGUAUCUGGACGGAAAAAUGACGUCUCAGCGGCUGAAACACUCUGAAAUGGAAACCACGUGCGACAUAACAGAACUGCCGAGGAUGUUUAUGUGUAGAGCUCAGAGCUUAACUUGGCUCUGUGGCUUACAACUACCUGGAUAACAGUUUGUUGCUUGUUCCUAGACAGUCAUAACUCCUCAAGGUUAAAGCAGAAAUGUUGGUUGAUCAUGAAUUAUGGCUUUUGGUGUGCAAGGGCAACUACAAGCAAGUGAACUGAGUCAACCAAUGAAGAGUCUACAAUAACUCAAAGUGUGUUCAAACCACUUCUGUUUUAACUCCUUUUGAGACAAACAAAGCCACGCCUGAAGUCACAUGAAGACUUUAUCUUUAAGUAUCAAGAUCGUAUAUUUUUCCACUGAAGAGCAAGUCACAAACAGGUAGACAAUAUUUUAUUUGAAGAUUACGGUUAUGGUGGAAUCUUAUAAUGAUGUCUACCGGAAUUGAAAGUUUCAAGCUUCUAUGUCGAUGUACUGAUAACAGCCAGAUCUUCAUAAAAGAAAAGCAAAUCAGUGAAGGUUGGACUUAAAACUUGAGAAGAAGUUGAUCCUAUCGCUUAAGGAAAAUGACAAUUUAACUGCUUUAAGGUUCAAAGUUACUGCAAGGUUUGGAUGUAACGAAAUAUGUUGGAACGUUAGCUUCCGCGGUUUUCGCUACUUUGUUCCUUCAAAUUCAAGUUAUAGGGCACCUAUUUUUUAGUUUGUUGUUUGUCAUUGCAAUUCAAGCAAUUAGCAAGUCGACAUUGACUAUUAAAUUAGAAAUGAACAAAAUGAACGAGUCAAUCAAAUUCACGUCCUAGAACUCCCCAGGUGGUUCUCCAGGACUCUAAAUUCACCGAAAUUGUUGUUCAUGUUUGUAAGCAUUACGGAAAAAAUUGCUUCACUUUUUUCAGAAUUGCGAAGCCAGUUCAGAGAGCCACGUGCAAAACGCAGGUUGUAAUAUGCAAAUUCCGUGGCGAAACAGACUUAAACACGAAGGCGCGCUAUAAAAGGAGCCUUAGAUCCCACUGAACCAUUUGUCAAUCAA